rnacentral:rRNA from 1 species
GGUCACUGCUAUCAGUGUUCGACUAAGCCAUGCAAGUCAAAUGUUCUUCGUGAACAUGGCGGACUGCUCAGUAACACGUGGAUAACCUGCCCUUAGGAUUGGCAUAACACCGGGAAACUGGUGAUAAUACCGAAUAGACCAUUUAUGCUGGAAUGCUUUUUGGUUCAAAGGCUUCGGCUGCCUAAGGAUGGAUCUGCGGCCUAUCAGGUAGUAGUGGGUGUAAUGUACCUACUAGCCUACGACGGGUACGGGUUGUGAGAGCAAGAGCCCGGAGAUGGAUUCUGAGACAUGAAUCCAGGCCCUACGGGGCGCAGCAGGCGCGAAAACUUUACAAUGCGGGAAACCGCGAUAAGGGGACACUGAGUGCCAGCAUAUUAUGUUGGCUGUCCACAUGUAUAAAAACCAUGUGUUAGCAAGGGCCGGGCAAGACCGGUGCCAGCCGCCGCGGUAACACCGGCGGCCCGAGUGGUGAUCACUUUUAUUGGGUCUAAAGGGUCCGUAGCCGGUUUGAUCAGUCUUCUGGGAAAUCUGACAGCUCAACUGUUAGGCUUUCAGGGGAUACUGUUAGACUUGGGACCGGGAGAGGUAAGAGGUACUACAGGGGUAGGAGUGAAAUCUUGUAAUCCCUGUGGGACCACCAGUGGCGAAGGCGUCUUACCAGAACGGGUCCGACGGUGAGGGACGAAAGCUGGGGGCACGAACCGGAUUAGAUACCCGGGUAGUCCCAGCCGUAAACGAUGUUCGCUAGGUGUCAGGGACGGUGCGACCGUUUCUGGUGCCGUAGGGAAGCCGUGAAGCGAACCACCUGGGAAGUACGGCCGCAAGGCUGAAACUUAAAGGAAUUGGCGGGGGAGCACUACAACGGGUGGAGCCUGCGGUUUA